rnacentral:rRNA from 1 species
AUUGAACGCUGGCGGCAGGCCUAACACAUGCAAGUCGAGCGGAUGAAGGGAGCUUGCUCCUGGAUUCAGCGGCGGACGGGUGAGUAAUGCCUAGGAAUCUGCCUGGUAGUGGGGGAUAACGUCCGGAAACGGGCGCUAAUACCGCAUACGUCCUGAGGGAGAAGGUGGGGGAUCUUCGGACCUCACGCUAUCAGAUGAGCCUAGGUCGGAUUAGCUAGUUGGUGGGGUAAAGGCCUACCAAGGCGACGAUCCGUAACUGGUCUGAGAGGAUGAUCAGUCACACUGGAACUGAGACACGGUCCAGACUCCUACGGGAGGCAGCAGUGGGGUAUAUUGGACAAUGGGCGAAAGCCUGAUCCAGCCAUGCUGCGUGUGUGAAGAAGGUCUUCGGAUUGUAAAGCACUUUAAGUUGGGAGGAAGGGCAGUAAGUUAAUACCUUGCUGUUUUGACGUUACCAACAGAAUAAGCACCGGCUAACUUCGUG